UUCCGCUCAUCAAUACUUCUAGCUCUACUCGUCUCCCAGGCACGCUGGAGAGCCACACUCCCUUCCUGACUUGAGAUUAGUCACUGCUUUGGCCAAUGAAAUGCAAGUGGAAGCGACGUUUGCUAAGCUUUAAGAGGCUGCCCUGGAUGUGCCGGGCUUGCUUUUUACUCUGCACCUUAACGGCUGUGUUCCCGGUCAUGACUGCCGGGUCAGCGAGGGUCCUGGAGUGAGGAGCACGCCGAGCAGAGCACGUGGCCGACGGCAAUGGACAGAUGGAGUGGGCUUUCUCAUAAUUGAUCUCAGAGUUGAAAAGAAGACUGUGAGCCAAGACUAUAAUGUCCAUCAUCAGGAGCCAAAUGUUGGAUGAAGCUGGAUUGCCUCCAGCUUUCUGAAAGCCAAUAUAAUUCCACAAAGGGGCCAGAGACUACCCAAGCACUGCUUCCUGAAAUUCAGACCAGCUCUUCCUCCUAUCAAGUACUACCUAAGAGAUCAUCUGUAGGGAAGAAAUUGGGAAGACUUUCUAAGAGAAGUAUUUACCUGGUUAGCAUUUAGGUAUUACCACCUCAAAAAAACAAACAAACAAAAAAACAAAAAAAAACAACAAAAAAAACAGCUUCUAUGCUAAUUGGCUGGCCAGGACCUGGGUAGUAGAAAAGAGUUGGCAAAGCAGUUCCCAGGAAGGAGAAUACACAGAGGUAAGGAGACAUUUGGUAAUGUCUGGAGACAUUUUUGAUUAUCACCACUGGGACAGUGCUACUGGCAUCAAAUCAUUCGUGUCUCUACUAGAGAAGAAGAAAUAUAAAUAGAAAGGAAAUAAAUUUCAAUUUAUAAACUGAGUUGUUUGUGCAUAACUCUAAUAGUUUAAAAAAUAGGAAGAAGAAAAAGCUGUAUAAGGGGUAAGAAUCUGAAAUCAGUAAUUAAAAAUGAAGUAUGAACUUUUGGGACUUCAUCAAAAUCAAAAGCUUCUACACAGCAAAGGAAACAGUCAAGAAAACAAAGAGGCAACUCACCGAAUGGGAGAAGAUAUUUGCAAAUGACAGUACAGACAAAAGGUUGAUAUCCAGGAUCUAUAAAGAACUCUUCAAACUCAACACACACAAAACAGACAAGCAUAUCAAAAAAUGGGCAGAAGAUAUGAAUAGACACUUCUCCAAUGAAGACAUACAAAUGGCUAUCAGACACAUGAAAAAAUGUUCAUCAUCACUAGCCCUCAGGGAGAUUCAAAUUAAAACCACAUUGAGAUACCACCUUACAUCAGUUAGAAUGGCCAGAAUUAGUAAGACAGGAAACAACAUUUGUUGGAGGGGGUGUGGAGAAAGGGAGAUCCCUCUUACACUGUUGGUGGGAAUGCAAGUUGGUGCACUCUUUGGAGAACAGUGUGGAGAUUCCUCAAGAAAUUAAAAAUAGAGCUUCCCUAUGACCCUGCCAUUGCACUACUGGGUAUUUACUCCAAAGAUACAGAUGUAGUGAAAAGAAGGGCCAUCUGUACCCCAAUGUUUAUAGCAGCAAUGGCCACAGUCACCAAACUGGAAAGAACCAAGAUGCCCUUCAAUGGAUAAAUGGAUAAGGAAGAUGUGGUCCACAUACACUAUGGAGUAUUAUGCCUCCAUCAGAAAGGAGGAAUACCCAACUUUUGUAUCAACAUGGACGGGACUGGAAGAGAUUAUGCUGAGUGAAAUAAGUCAAGCAGAGUCAAUUAUCAUAUGGUUUCAGUUAUUUGUGGAGCAUAACAAAUAGCAUGGAGGACAUGGGGAGUUAGAGAGGAGAAGGGAGUUGGGGGAAAUUGGAAGGGGAGGUGAACCAUGAGAGACUAUGGACUCUAAAAAACAAUCUGAGGGGUUUGAAGUGGUGGGGGGUGGGAUGUUGGGGGAACCAGGUGGUGGGUAUUAGAGAGGGCACGGAUUGCAUGGAGCACUGGGUGUGGUGCAAAAAUAAUGAAUACUGUUAUGCUGAAAAUAAAAAAAUUUUAAAAAAACCAUUACUUUCGUGGAGGGAAGAGUUGAGGGACAGUGAAGAAUUAACUCUUUCUUCUACAUAUAUUUUUGUUGAAUUUUUCACAAUAAAGAUAUAUUCACAGGUUAAAAGAACAAACCAUAAGUGACUCUUAAUCUCACAAAACAAACUGAGGGUUGCUGGGGGGAGGGGAGUUGGGAGAAGGGGGUCGGAUUAUGGACAUUGGGGAGGGUGUGUGCUUUGGUGAGUGCUGUGAAGUGUGUAAACCUGGUGAUUCACAGACCUGUACCCCUGGGGAUAAAAAUAUAUGUUUAUAAAAAAUAAAAAAUUUAAAAAAAAAAGAAAGAAA